CUUUCCUUGCAUCACUUUCUUCCGAUCCUCCCUCUCUCCGCUCAAAGUUAUUAUACCCUUUUCUUUUCAUGGCAUCACUGUAUUAGUCCUCUUCAGGAAGGUGGCUGGAAUACACAGAAAUAAUACGGCUCUGGUGCCCAAGAUAGCAAAUAUGAGCAAAGAUUGUCAUAAUUGGAAGCCAGUGAAAGAGGAGUUCACAUUUCCUGCAAACUCUGUUCCCUUCAAUAGCUGCCAUGCCACUACCGUUGUUGCAAAUGUCUAAUUGGGUUAUCUAAUUCUCUUCGAAUUCUUACAGUUUGCCUUCAUCAUCUGCAGUGUAACGUUUUGCUGAUCUGUGCUUUGUGCAGUUUGAUAAAGAUCACCUUUUGGUUGCUUAUUUUAGAGGUACAAAAGAGGGAGCACCCGAUGUUUAAAUUUGGAUACAGACAUACAAAGGCUUUCCAAUCCUGCUGCAUAUCUGCUGAUGGGAUUUCUCCCAAAAGCCCAAUUGUAGUCCUCCAAGGUGGC